GGGUGAUGGCGUGCCUUUUGUAGAAUGAACCGGCGAGUUACGAUCCCGUGCGAGGUUAAGCUGAAGAGGCGGAGCCGCAGCGAAAGCGAGUCUGAAUAGGGCGUUUAGUACGUGGUCGUAGACCCGAAACCAGGUGAUCUACCCAUGUCCAGGGUGAAGUUCAGGUAACACUGAAUGGAGGCCCGAACCCACGCACGUUGAAAAGUGCGGGGAUGAGGUGUGGGUAGCGGAGAAAUUCCAAUCGAACCUGGAGAUAGCUGGUUCUCCCCGAAAUAGCUUUAGGGCUAGCCUUAAGUGUAAGAGUCUUGGAGGUAGAGCACUGAUUGGACUAGGGGUCCUCAUCGGAUUACCGAAUUCAGUCAAACUCCGAAUGCCAAUGACUUAUCCUUAGGAGUCAGACUGCGAGUGAUAAGAUCCGUAGUCAAAAGGGAAACAGCCCAGACCGCCAGCUAAGGUCCCAAAGUGUGUAUUAAGUGGAAAAGGAUGUGGAGUUGCUUAGACAACUAGGAUGUUGGCUUAGAAGCAGCCACCAUUUAAAGAGUGCGUAAUAGCUCACUAGUCGAGUGACUCUGCGCCGAAAAUGUACCGGGGCUAAAUACACCACCGAAGCUGCGGAUUGAUACCAAUGGUAUCAGUGGUAGGGGAGCGUUCUAAGGACAGUGAAGUCAGACCGGAAGGACUGGUGGAGUGCUUAGAAGUGAGAAUGCCGGUAUGAGUAGCGAAAGACGGGUGAGAAUCCCGUCCACCGAAUGCCUAAGGUUUCCUGAGGAAGGCUCGUCCGCUCAGGGUUAGUCAGGACCUAAGCCGAGGCCGACAGGCGUAGGCGAUGGACAACAGGUUGAUAUUCCUGUACCACCUCUUUAUCGUUUGAGCAAUGGAGGGACGCAGAAGGAUAGAAGAAGCGUGCGAUUGGUUGUGCACGUCCAAGCAGUUAGGCUGAUAAGUAGGCAAAUCCGCUUAUCGUAAAGGCUGAGCUGUGAUGGGGAAGCUCCUUAUGGAGCGAAGUCUUUGAUUCCCCGCUGCCAAGAAAAGCUUCUAGCGAGAUAAAAGGUGCCUGUACCGCAAACCGACACAGGUAGGCGAGGAGAGAAUCCUAAGGUGUGCGAGAGAACUCUGGUUAAGGAACUCGGCAAAAUGACCCCGUAACUUCGGGAGAAGGGGUGCUUUCUUAACGGAAAGCCGCAGUGAAUAGGCCCAAGCGACUGUUUAGCAAAAACACAGCUCUCUGCGAAGCCGUAAGGCGAAGUAUAGGGGGUGACACCUGCCCGGUGCUGGAAGGUUAAGGAGAGGGGUUAGCGUAAGCGAAGCUCUGAACUGAAGCCCCAGUAAACGGCGGCCGUAACUAUAACGGUCCUAAGGUAGCGAAAUUCCUUGUCGGGUAAGUUCCGACCCGCACGAAAGG
rnacentral:rRNA from 1 species